GAUGAACGCUAGCGGCAGGCCUAACACAUGCAAGUCGAGGGGCAGCAUAAUAAAAGCUUGCUUUUAUGGUGGCGACCGGCGCACGGGUGCGUAACGCGUAUGCAACCUACCUUAUACUGGGGUAUAGCCCGAAGAAAUUCGGAUUAAUCCCCCAUAGUAUUAUUAGAUCGCAUGGUUUGAUAAUUAAAGGCUACGGUAUAAGAUGGGCAUGCGUCCCAUUAGCUAGAUGGUGAGGUAACGGCUCACCAUGGCGACGAUGGGUAGGGGGCCUGAGAGGGUGGUCCCCCACACUGGUACUGAGACGCGGACCAGACUCCUACGGGAGGCAGCAGUGAGGAAUAUUGGUCAAUGGGCGAGAGCCUGAACCAGCCAUGCCGCGUGCAGGAAGACGGUCCUAUGGAUUGUAAACUGCUUUUAUUUGGGAAUAAACUCCGAUACGUGUAUCGGCCUGAAGGUACCAAAUGAAUAAGCACCGGCUAACUCCGUGCCAGCCGCCGCUGUAACAC
rnacentral:rRNA from 1 species